rnacentral:lncRNA from 1 species
AUGAAGACACGCUCUAAAGCCAAGCUUGAAGCCACACAAGAUGGGACUCCUGAGAGAGCUACCCUCAGCUGUAGCCAGAGACCUGCAGGAGACGCCCCGAACCUUUGUGAACCGAAUGUGAAAGGUGGACUAAUGUCUUCACGCCUUUCCCGAGAUAUCCCUGUCCGUAAGACAGAGGUCAGCACCACAGCUGCCUCUUGGAAAAGGAAGCCCAUUUCCAGGGCUUCCAUGCUGCCCCGUGGGCAGUUAAAGCCCUGCCAGGACCUCUCAGCUCCUGGGGAAGAUACAUCCUCUACCUCAGCCUCAUUGGUCCAACGAUCACCGCAGAAGCGACAAUCUCAGUCUCUUAACUCAUGGUUACCCAUGGUUCUUGGCAAAACCCGCAGGAGAAAGCGAGACCCCAAGAAUCGGGCAGCUGCCAUGGAGCGGGUGAGGCAGUGGGAAAUUCAUCUUCUCCAGGACCUCGAGGAAGCCACGCAGCACCAGCUCACUGUUGAAGAUGAAUAAGAAACCAGUGAUUCAGCUUAACACAGAAGAUCAGCCAGACGCCACCUCCGAGGCCCCACACAGGGCAUAGACAUUUGUUUUUUUGGACA